rnacentral:rRNA from 1 species
UACAGAGGGUGCAAGCGUUAAUCGGAUUUACUGGGCGUAAAGGGUGCGUAGGCGGCGCGGUAAGUCGGGUGUGAAAUCUCGGAGCUUAACUCCGAAACUGCAUUCGAUACUGCCGUGCUUGAGGACUGGAGAGGAGACUGGAAUUUACGGUGUAGCGGUGAAAUGCGUAGAUAUCGUAAGGAAGACCAGUGGCGAAGGCGGGUCUCUGGACAGUUCCUGACGCUGAGGCACGAAGGUCAGGGGAGCAAACGGG